rnacentral:rRNA from 1 species
CGGCGAACGGGUGAGUAACACGUGAGUAAUCAACCCUCGGUACCGGGAUAGCCCGGGGAAACUCGGAUUAAUACCGGAUGGCCCAUCCGCUUUUCGGAGCGGUUGGAAAAGGUAGCUUCGGCCUCCGACCGGGGACGAGCUCGCGGCGGAUUAGCUUGUUGGCGGGGUAAAGGCCCACCAAGGCGACGAUCCGUAGCUGGUCUGAGAGGACGAUCAGCCACACUGGGACUGAGACACGGCCCAG